ACCCAAAAGGUUGGUGAAGUCUCUAAUAUUAAAUUGGUACUCCAUAUUGAACAUUCUGAACUGGAUAAAACCUCUGCUAAUUCCUUUUCCAUGGCUGGGUAGAUAGAUUAAUGAGCUAAGGAAUUCUAGUGUGAGUCUCCGGUAGGUGGUGAAAUGUCUCAGGAUAGGGGAGGUCUCCCAUCCUAUCUGAUUCAGCAAAUACAGGACACUCUGUCUCAGUCCAAGGGCAGUCAUAGCCCAAUCAUCAGCAUAUAAACUAGGUAGCAUCUCUCUAGCGGC
rnacentral:lncRNA from 1 species